GGCCGCGGGAAUUCGAUUCAGACCUAACACAUGCAAGUCGAACGAGACCUUCGGGUCUAGUGGCGCACGGGUGCGUAACGCGUGGGAAUCUGCCCUUGGGUUCGGAAUAACUCAGAGAAAUUUGAGCUAAUACCGGAUGAUGACGAAAGUCCAAAGAUUUAUCGCCCAAGGAUGAGCCCGCGUAAGAUUAGCUUGUUGGUGGGGUAAUGGCCUACCAAGGCGACGAUCUUUAGCUGGUCUGAGAGGAUGAUCAGCCACACUGGGACUGAGACACGGCCCAGACUCCUACGGGAGGCAGCAGUGGGGAAUAUUGGAAAGGGGGCGAAAGCCUGAUCCAGCAAUGCCGCGUGAUUUAUGGGGCCUUAGGGUUGUAAAGCUCUUUACCAGGGAUGAUA
rnacentral:rRNA from 1 species